rnacentral:rRNA from 1 species
GGUUCGUAGGUGAACCUGCGGAAGGAUCAUUAAGAAUAAUCUCGAGGGCCUUCGGAAAGGAGAGAGGGUUGUAGCUGGCUUAAGCAUGUGCACGCCCUCUUUCUCGACCUAGGUCCUUAUGGGCGCGGGGCGACCCGCGUCUUCAUAAGCCCCUUCGUGUAGAAAGUCUAUGAAUGUUUUUACCAUCAUCGACUCGCGACUUCUAGGAGACGCGAUUCUUUGAGACAAAAGUUAUUACAACUUUCAGCAAUGGAUCUCUUGGCUCUCGCAUCGAUGAAGAACGCAGCGAAUCGCGAUAUGUAAUGUGAAUUGCAGAUCUACAGUGAAUCAUCGAAUCUUUGAACGCACCUUGCGCUUAUCGGUGUUCCGAUGAGCAUGCCUGUUUGAGCGUCAUUAAAUUCUCAACCCCUCUCGAUUUGCUUCGAGAGGGAGCUUGGAUCGUGGAGGCUGCCGGAGACCUGUUUUUCAGGACUCGGGCUCCUCUGAAAUGUAUUGGCUUGCGGUCGACUUUCGACUGUGCAUGACAAGGCCUUUGGCGUGAUAAUGAUCGCCGCUCGCCGAAGUGCACGAACGAAUGGUCUCGUGCCUCUAAUCAGUCGACGCCUUUUCGAAGGCGUCUUCCUUAUUGACGUUUGACCUCAAAUCAGGUAGGACUACCCGCUGAACUUAAGCAUAUCAAUAAGCGGAGGAAAAGAAACUAACAAGGAUUCCCCUAGUAACUGCGAGUGAACCGGGAAAAGCUCAAAUUUGAAUCUGGCGGUCCUUCGGGCCGUCCGA